rnacentral:rRNA from 1 species
UCCAAUAGCGUAUAUUAAAGUUGUUGUGGUUAAAAAGCUCGUAGUUGAACCUUGGGCCUGGCCGUCCGGUCCGCCUCACCGCGUGUACUGGCUCGGCCGGGCCUUUCCCUCUGUGGAACCCCAUGCCCUUCACUGGGCGUGGCGGGGAAACAGGACUUUUACUGUGAAAAAAUUAGAGUGCUCCAGGCAGGCCUAUGCUCGGAUACAUUAGCAUGGAAUAAUAGAAUAGGACGUGUGGUUCAAUUUUGUCGGUUUCUAGAACCGCCGUAAUGAUUAAUAGGGACAAGUCGGGGGCAUCAGUAUUCAAUUGUCAGAGGUGAAAUUCUUGGAUUUAUGAAGACUAACUACUGCGAAAGCAUUUGCCAAACGAUGUUAUCAUUUAUCAGGGACGAAAGUAAGGAGGAUCGAAGACGAUCAGAUACCGUCGUAGUCUUAACCAUAAACUAUGCCGACUAGGGAUCGGACGGUGUUAUUUUUUGACCCGUUCGGCACCUUACGAGAAAUCAAAGUGCUUGGGCUCCAGGGGGGAGUA